UAAAAAUUGAGUUUGAUGAUGGCUCUGAUUGAACGCUAUCCAAGUGCUUGACACAUGCUAAUCGAACGUCAUUAUCUAUAUAAGAUAAUGAAGUGGUGUACAGGUGAGUAAAUAUUUUAACUACCUUAAAGAAAGGGGAAAAUCCCUUAUAAAAAAAAAAUAAAACAAAGUUUUGCUUUAAGAUGUUAAUAAAUAUAUCGGAAAGUAUUAGAUAAGGUAAAAACUUAACUAGCGAUAAUUCCGUAGUCGAGACUGAGAGGUCGAUCGAUCACAUUGGGUCUGAAAAAAGCCCAAUGCGUAUUAGUACAGCAGUGAGGAAUAUUGGUCAAUGGCCUAACGGCUGAACCAGCAACUUGGAAGAAUGAGAAGUAUUAAAAAAAAUUAAUACGAAACGAAUAUAUCGUAUGAAAUUCUAGAUAAAUUAUUGAUAAUGACAAUUAUUUAUUUAUAAGUCUUGACCAAAUUACGUGCCAGCAGUCGCGGUAAUACGUAGAAGACUAGUGUUAAUCAUCUUUAUUAGGUUUAAAGGGUACCUAGACGGUAAAUUAAACCCGAGAGGGUACUUUUUUACUAGAGUUUUAUAAGAGAAGGGGAGAAUUUUUGGAGUAAAGAUAAAAUUUAAUUAUACCAAAAGGACUGAUAACGGCGUAGGCGGCCUUUUAUGUAAAAACUGACGUUGAGGGACGAAGGCUUGGGUAGCAAUAAGGAUGUGCGACUUGUUAAGUUUUAACAAAAAUUGUAUAACGUUUAUUAAUGAUUAUACAUUGUAUUUCAUCUUACAAUAGCCUAAUUA
rnacentral:ncRNA from 1 species